CUGAAGGUCUAGGCCAGGAGCCAUCCUGGAUCUGAGGCCUGCCAGCAACAGCAUGAGAUAGUUAUGAGCAGAUUCUCCAGCCCUGUCAGACUGCAGGUUGACCACAGCGCUGUCCAACAGCUCAACUGCAAUCCUCAUGAGAGACUGUGAGGAGAUGUCACAGGCUAGGAAUAUCUGUUAGCUCUAAGGUAUGCUGCCUUGGACCAUAAAGAAGGCUGAACACCAACGAACUGAUGCUUUUAAAUUGUGAUGCUGGAGAAGAAUUUUGAGAGUCCCUUACGCUGCAAAGAGAUCAAACUAGUCAACUUUAAAGGAAAUCAACACUGACUAUUCACUGGAAGAACUAUUGCUGAAGCUGAAGCUCCAAUAGUUUGGCGAUCUGAUGUGAAGAGCCAGCUUAUUUGAAAAGACCCUGCUGGGAAAGGGUGAAGACAAAAGGAAAAGGCAGAAGCAAAGGAUAAGAUGGUUAGAUAGAAUCACCAACUCAGUGGACGUGAAUCUGAGCAAACUCUGGGAGAUAGUGGAGGACAAGAGGAGCCUGGCAUGCAACAGUCCAUGGGGUCGCAGAGUCAGACAUGAUUUAGUGACUGAAAAACAGCAACAGCAAAUGCUGCUUUGGAUAAGGCGAGAUGCAGGGAUAGGGAGAAGAGGUUCCUCUUCUCAAGCAGAAAACAAGAGUGACAAAAUGACCCACCAGAGAGGUUGGAAAUGACUUUGCAAAUGGCAUUGCCUAUUUUGUGACUGGAUGCUACCAAAGUGCACAAGUAUCUAGGCGUGUUCUAACAUGCGGCUGGAUGAGAGAAG
ensembl:lncRNA